rnacentral:rRNA from 1 species
GGGGGCCCGCACAAGCGGUGGAGCAUGUGGUUUAAUCGAAGCAACGCGAAAGUAACCCUUUACCAGGGUUCUUGAACACUCCCGAUGCUAUUUCUAGAGAUAGAAAGUUACUUCGGUACAUCGGUGACAGGUGGUGCAUGGUUGUCGUCAGCUCGUGUCGUGAGAUGUUGGGUUAAGUCCCGCAACGAGCGCAACCCCUAUUGUUAGUUGCCAUCAUUCAGUUGGGCACUCUAGCGAGACUGCCGGUAAUAAACCGGAGGAAGGUGGGGAUGACGUCAAAUCAUCAUGCCCCUUAUGUUCUGGGCUACACACGUGCUACAAUGGCCGGUACAGACGGAGGCGAAGCCGCGAGGCGGAGCAAAUCCGAAAAAGCCGGUCUCAGUUCGGAUUGCAGGCUGCAAUUCGCCUGCAUGAAGUCGGAAUCGCUAGUAAUCGCAGGUCAGCAUACUGCGGUGAAUACGUUCCCGGGCCUU